rnacentral:lncRNA from 1 species
UCGAAAAUUCGAGGCAUCUGCAUUGAGAUGAGUGGUUGGAGUUUUCUUAGAUGCUCGAGAUCUUCUUCUAAUUGGCUUCUUUAUACAACAAUUUUUGGGACUUAAGUCAUGACUAGAUAAUGAAUUUGUAGGGCUUAAGGUUGUAGUGUCACAGUUUAAGGUUGUAGUCAUUUUUGUGGCAGAAAUAUCAUUUGGUUGGUUGCUAAGGGUUUGUAGGUAAUAGUUGUUCAAAGGGUCAUCGUUGUAGCUUUGCAUGGUAUUUAUGACCAUUCAAAGUGUUAGCUCAGUGUGUUGG